UGCAAUAUAUUUUAUAAUUCGAAAAUUUGAUCUUCAUGGACUUUCGGGGGCUCAAAGUUGGCGAUUUUGCCUAUUUUGAGCCUUUGGCCGCCAGCAUAAAAGUACUGGGGCGAGAAUGCCGGUGUGACGUCAAACCGGGAAGUCAUCAAAACAAAAUACAUAUGAUUUACUAUAGUUUCUUGACAAAAUCGAGUAUAAAUUAGAUGUUUCUGGAAAUUUCUUCGAUAUUUUGAUUGAAAUUUAAAUGGAACUAUAUCCUUAACCUUCGGUUAUCCAACUGACAGGCAGAUUGGGCGAGAUACUAAUUUUAUGGCUGAGUGUGCAGGUCAAACAAACACAUAUACGCUGAUGCUAUAUAUUCUUUCUCGGUUUCUUGAUUUUAUAUAUACAGAAAUAGAGACAAAACGGCAAGGAACUGUAGGCUGUUGUUAAACGUGAUCCAGUGGAAUAUAUUCGCUUUGCCCUCGGUUUUGUCAAUGCCAGCCAGAAUGGCGGAAAUUAUUGUGAACAAAACGCCUCGUCCACUGAUCAAUACAGAGUCAGAGCCAGAGGCGUUGGUUUGCUUGAAUUUCGACGUCAAAAUGUGUCGUAUAAAAUUGGCGAGAAGGUGAUUAAAUACGGUUUUUAUGUGAUUUAAUACUAAAAGAGAAACUCCCAAGGCAAACUGAACUUGUUCUAUUGUUACUGAUAGGUAUGCAAGAGAAAAUUGAUCUUUGAAUAAAGUCGCGA